GAUAGACGUGUCCAAUAUGAUAGACGACCAAACAGUCUUUAGAACAAGAUAUUUAUAGCUUCACAACCCUUUAUCCCUUUAAAACCCUAACCUUAAAAAAAUUUCCUCUUUUCUCUCUAAGCUCUGUAUUUUCAUCAAAUCUUCUAAGGAAAAAUGAGUCGUUCAAGUAGGACAAUUUAUGUUGGUAAUCUUCCUGGUGAUAUCCGUGAGCGAGAAGUGGAGGAUUUGUUCUACAAGUAUGGUCCGAUAGCACAUAUUGAUCUGAAAAUUCCACCAAGACCCCCUGGUUAUGCUUUUGUUGAGUUUGAAGAGGCUCGCGAUGCUGAUGAUGCUAUUCGUGGGCGUGAUGGCUAUGAUUUUGAUGGGCAUCGCUUGAGGGUUGAACUUGCACAUGGUGGGCGUGGUAACUCAUCGGCAAAUGAUCGUUAUAGUGGCCGUAAUGAUGGCGGUCGUACUAAUCACAAAUUUGGAGCGCCCAAGCGUACAGAGUAUCGAGUUUUAGUUACUGGAUUGCCCCAUUCAGCAUCCUGGCAGGAUCUCAAGGAUCACAUGCGUCGAGCUGGGGAUGUUUGCUUCUCACAAGUUUUCCGUGAGGGGAGUGGGACAACUGGGAUUGUGGAUUAUACCAACUAUGACGACAUGAAAUAUGCUAUAAAAAAACUUGAUGAAUCUGAGUUUCGGAAUGCUUUUUCUCGUUCGACAAUUCGAGUGAAGGAACAUGAUUCUAGAAGCCGAAGUCGUAGCCGCAGCCGUUCUUACUCACGAGGAAAGAGUGGUAGCCGUAGCCGCAGUCGUAGCCGGAGCAGAAGCAAAUCUCCCAAAGCUAAAUCUUCAAAGCGUGCAAGAUCUCGUUCUAGAUCUGUGUCUUCUCAGCCCCGUUCUGGGUUAAAAGGACGCUCGGUGUCGAGUUUGAGGAUCUACAUCGUCCGUUCAAAAUUGUAAGUGAACCUUUCGGAAAUUUGUUGAGAUCUUAGACCAAUAUGUGGUGGCUCAAUUGGUGACUGAUAUUGGAUAUAUGCGAGGAUCUUGGAUUGCAUAUUAGGAUUUUGAGUGGAUAUGGUCUUGCCUACAACAAAUUUUGUUGUGGAGAUAUGCUGUUUUCUAGAUGGCAACUUCGGAAUCUUUUAUGGUGUCUCUCCUCUGAUGAGCAUCAUGAAUGUCCAUCGAUGCUAGAUUGGGAACGAGAAGAUCAUGGAUUUUGAUGGUCAAGCUGGACUGGCAUACUAACUUCAAUUUGAAUUUGGGAUCACCAUCUGCCGAGCUAAUAAGACACUAAUGGGUUCUUUCGCUUCCUAUUAAUUGGUUUUCAAACAGUACAAACUUAAAUUAUUGACUAGAACUCUUGCUUAACUAGGUAACUUGCAUGGCUUCAUACAUAUCAUUGUUUUCUCUUUGGGAUGGUGAAAUGAUUACGGGUUUCUGCAUAUCUACUUUGAUUAUGGUCUCUCUGACGUGGAAAUGGCAUCAAGGCAACUUUGGAUGAAAGUUGUUAAGCAGAAGGUUGGAUAUUUAAAUUGAGUUGUUUCUGGACAUUUUGCAGAUCUCCAUCAAGAUCCAGAUCCCCAGUACCAUCUCGCCCAAAACGUGCUAGUAUAAGCCCAAAACCGCGCGAUUCCAAGAGAAGCCAGAGCUUGAGUAAAAGCCCAAAACCGCGUGAUUCCAGGAGAAGCAAGAGCGUGAGUAAAAGCCCAGAACCACGUGAUUCCAAAAGGAGCCG